rnacentral:rRNA from 1 species
AUUGAACGCUGGCGGCAGGCCUAACACAUGCAAGUCGAGCGAGCGGCGGACGGGGGAGUAAUGUCUGGGAAACUGCCUGAUGGAGGGGGAUAACUACUGGAAACGGUAGCUAAUACCGCAUACCAUCAGAUGUGCCCACAUGGGGUAAGCGAGUAGGUGGGGGAACGGCUCACCUCGGCGACGAUCCCUAGCGGGUCUGAGAGGAUGACCAGCCACACUGGAACUGAGACACGGUCCAGACUCCGACGGGAGGCAGCAGUGGGGAAUAUUGCACAAUGGGCGCAAGCCUGAUGCAGCCAUGCCGCGUGUGUGAAGAAGGCCUUCGGGUUGUAAAGCACUUUCAGCGGGGAGGCGUUACCCGCAGAAGAAGCACCGGCUAACUCCGUGCCAGCAGCCGCGGUAAUAC